AGCGUGGGGAGGACGGCGAUCGUCCCUCGAUGUUGAUUGCAGGUCUUUGUGAACAAAUUAUGUUAUUAACAAGUGCAAAUAAAUCGCUCGAGCAUAUGGCGAGAAAACGAUGGUUUUUUUUUUUUGUUUUCUUAACGUCUCGCCGUCUUAGUCGGCAAUUAGGAAACUUUGUCCCGGUCUACUAAACAUAUAUAUAUAUAUAUAUAAUAUUGUAACGCUAAAAUGACGCAAACGUCUUCAGACCUACUCCUCCCCUCGCGGUAAAGGUCAGGUUGAUUUCCGACAUCGACCUAUGCCAGGGCGGCGGCUAUUUUUACGCGUGAAAUCGCGAGUCGAAUAACAAAAUGUGAUAGUUUUAUUUUUACGAUUUCCGUUUCCCCCGGAAAAACAAAAAUAACUGAUUGACAAUUUCAUCGACCAAUAAUAAUUGACGCUCCGAACGUUACGACACGUUACGACGGUAUAUGAUUUUCAAAUAUCUGAGUAUAACUACUUUAUCGGUGGAUUGGGCUUAGAUAAAAAAAAUCGUACCUUGUAUCUUGUGCGACAGAUACAUUCAUGGGAAGUAUCGAAAAAUCUACCGUAUCGCUAUACUGAAAUCGGCGUAUCUAAAGUGUCUAAAGGUUCUCGAGCACAUUAGUGCCCGAAUAAGGGCCAACCAGCAGUGCCGAUUUCCUCGCUGGCUUUUAGAAAAACAUUUAAAACAACGUUUAACGUGAUUGUACGAAAACGAGAGGAGGCGUUGUGAAUCGCGAAAAUAUGUUUGUAUCGAUUCAGAUACUGACUGCGGGGAAAAUUUAAUUCGUAUUAUAAUUUUAUUGUAUCGAGUAUAAUAUCUACUAUCCGGUAUUAAUCGUAUCAUAAUAUCUUGAGAUACUGAAAAUCAAUUAUCGAGUACCUAUUUAGAUAAUUCAUUUAACUAUACCCGUACACUAAACGUACUUUCAAUACUAAAAUUUUUAGGGGGAUUACGAGUAUGUGAAGUAUCACAAUAUCAAAAUGCUUAAAGUCUCGCUGUUCUCAUCAUUACGUUUGAAUGCAAAUUUGCUAUUAUGCCGUGCGUGUUUGUGAGGCAGUGACAACAAAUGCGUGUCGCACAGGUACACAGCGUAGUCUAAACACUUACCGGACUUUCCGCGAUUUUGUAUACGACA